UACAGGGGAUGCAAGUGUUAUCCGGAAUCAUUGGGCGUAAAGCGUCUGCAGGUGGAUCUUUAAGUCUUUUGUUAAACCUCCAGGCUUAACCUGGAAUCUGCAAAAGAAACUAUUUAUCUAGAGUAUGGUAGAGGUAAAGGGAAUUUCCAGUGGAGCGGUGAAAUGCGUAGAUAUUGGAAAGAACACCAACAGCGAAGGCACUUUACUGGGCCAUUACUGACACUCAGAGACGAAAGCUAGGGGAGCGAAAGGG
rnacentral:rRNA from 1 species